rnacentral:lncRNA from 1 species
CCGCCUUACCGGGCUUCCGCGCAUGCUCCUUCCCGGCUCCCAGCGGGCCUCUGCGGGGCCGACCACGCCUCGCGGCGCAGGCGUCAGUUAGGCCACAUCAGCGCAAAUUUGCAGGCGCCCAGUGUCUGCCAGAAGAAAUUUCCCGUCUGGUCGUAGCUAUGGCCUCCCUUUGGUAGGGAUCGGACUCUAUGAAGGACGCUGCGAUUCAGAGAAAGGAGGCGGAAGGUCCGUACUUCCCACACAGCGUCUGACCAAGUCGUCUCUUACAAAAUUUGUACAGGCACAUGGUGGGACAGCUCAGGCGUCCCCUGGAGCCGGCGAGGACCCUGCGAGGGCCCUGGGGGCGGGGCCUGAGCCAGCCUCUCCAGCCGCCGGUCCUUUGAGUACUCCACAGACCGCUUCUUGGCUGUCAGUUUCAGCCUCCUGCGCCUUCCAGUCUCCAGCAUGCCUGGUCCGACCCCCAGUGGCACUAAUGUGGGCUCGUCGGGGCGCUCCCCCAGCAAAGCAGUGGCCGCCCGGGCGGCCGGAUCCACGGUCCGGCAGAGAAAAAAUGCUAGCUGUGGAACAAGGAGUGCGGGACGCACGACCUCGGCAGGCACUGGGGGCAUGUGGCGGUUCUACACGGAAGACUCACCUGGGCUCAAGGUUGGCCCUGUUCCAGUAUUGGUUAUGAGUCUUCUGUUCAUCGCUUCUGUAUUUAUGCUGCACAUUUGGGGCAAGUACACUCGUUCAUAGAUUCAGCUACAUCCAUCUGUCUGUCAUCCGAACAAGAAGGAAAAAAACCCAACAUAUCUUGGACCAAAAGCAUAGUGAUUUUCUGUUUGUGAGAAAGAAAUACUCUGUAAGCUUAUUGCUUUACAGGGAACUUAACAUGAAUUGAUUUUAAGGAAUCGAUUUUUUUCUAUGGCUAAUAAACUUUUUAAUUCAUUUAUACCA